rnacentral:misc_RNA from 1 species
GAUUGAAUAAAUCUCGAUAGACAAAGAGAUAUAUCGCGAACUUGUAGACCCUCCUUUUCAGCGAAAAAUAAAAUGAACGUGAAAUCUCCGUCAAGCAAACCGAAAAAUCUAGAGAUUCGAAGAUGUUGCUCGAAGAAUUUCAAAUGUCGGAGCGAGAACAGCAAGUAGCAAUCAUCGUGGGUUAGGGUUCGUAGAGUUGAAAGGGAGAGAGAGAAUGGGGGGUUUCAGAUGGCUAAGCAAUUGGU